GACGAACGCUGGCGGCGUGCUUAACACAUGCAAGUCGAACGGAAAGGCCCUGCCUUUGUGGGGUGCUCGAGUGGCGAACGGGUGAGUAACACGUGAGUAACCUGCCCUUGACUUUGGGAUAACUUCAGGAAACUGGGGCUAAUACCGGAUAGGAGCUCCUGCUGCAUGGUGGGGGUUGGAAAGUUUCGGCGGUUGGGGAUGGACUCGCGGCUUAUCAGCUUGUUGGUGGGGUAGUGGCUUACCAAGGCUUUGACGGGUAGCCGGCCUGAGAGGGUGACCGGCCACAUUGGGACUGAGAUACGGCCCAGACUCCUACGGGAGGCAGCAGUGGGGAAUAUUGCACAAUAGGGCGGAAGCCUGAUGCAGCAACGCCGCGUGCGGGAUGACGGCCUUCGGGUUGUAAACCGCUUUCGCCUGUGACGAAGCGUGAGUGACGGUAAUGGGUAAAGAAGCACCGGCUAACUACGUG
rnacentral:rRNA from 1 species